UUUACAUCUAUUGUCCCUACAUGGUAGAAAUACUAUAUAAUGGAGCACUGCGACUGCCUAUCUCUUCUCAGCAUGUGUUCAGGAACUUCCUGUCGGUCACUGCCUUCAAACCAGCCGUGUUGAGAGUUAUUUACAUCAUGGAGCCGGACAAGAAACAUCCACUCAAAGGUUUCUUCAGGGUGCGUGAAGUGGAGGAGCGGUGAGGUAAGAGUUAUCCCUCUCUGACUGGACAGCUACCAGGCUCUUUCACUUUGGUGUUUAUACAAGAAGCAAGCCAAGAAGAUUUUUAUUUGUCAGAGAGAGAGAGCGCAC